rnacentral:rRNA from 1 species
UACGUAGGGUGCAAGCGUUGUCCGGAAUUAUUGGGCGUAAAGAGCUCGUAGGCGGUUUGUCGCGUCUGCUGUGAAAACUCAGGGCUUAACUCUGAGCUUGCAGUGGGUACGGGCAGACUAGAGUGCGGUAGGGGAGACUGGAAUUCCUGGUGUAGCGGUGAAAUGCGCAGAUAUCAGGAGGAACACCGGUGGCGAAGGCGGGUCUCUGGGCCGUAACUGACGCUGAGGGGCGAAAGCAUGGGGAGCGAACAGG